rnacentral:rRNA from 1 species
CACGUAGGGCGCAAGCGUUUGUCCGGAAUUAUUGGGCGUAAAGAGCUCGUAGGCGGUCUGUCGCGUCUGGUGUGAAAACUCAGGGCUUAACCCUGAGCUUGCAUCGGGGUACGGGCAGACUAGAGUGCGGUAGGGGGAGACUGGAAUUCCUGGUGUAGCGGUGAAAUGCGCAGAUAUCAGGAGGAACACCGGUGGCGAAGGCGGUGGUCUGGGCCGGAACUGACGCUGAGGAGCGAAAGCGUGGGGAGCGAACAGG